CUCUGGGGACAGUCUCUGCCAACCCCAGCCUGCUCCUCCCUCCUCCCCAGCUACUGGGAUGGGCAGAGGGCCGCUGCCGGCCCCUCACGGACCUGGUUAAGCCCGGCCGUGGAGCCUGUGACAACCUGGACCCCCGUGAUUCUGCGACCGGAGCGCCUGCUUCAGGCACCUCUCCGCUGGAUGGAAGAGGAAAAAGCAUUUGUAAAAGACAACCUUAACCUUCACGCUUGGAUUAUGACAUAAAAUGUUCACCUUAGAAGACUCCACUUCCGCCACCGCUGCCUCACGAGGUGGGGGAUGCCAGCUGCCACAUCAUGAGGACACACAAGCAGCCCUGUGGAGAGGUCCACGUGCGAGGAACUGAGGCCUCCUGCCAACAGCCACUGAGGGAACCAUCUUGGAAGCUUUUCAGCCCUGGCCAAUCUUUCCAAUGACUGGAGCCUUGGCUGAUCCUGACAGCGCUGCGCUAUCUCCGCCAAAGUGGGCAGUCUGUGGAAAAGCAUCCAUCAUUUGGUCAUUUAGUCAACAAGUAUUUCUGAGUGCCAGUGAUGUGCAAGCAUUGAGCAUCUUCUAUAAGGAUUUAAUGGCGACCGUGAUAGACAUGGAAGCUUCUUGCCCACGUGGAGGUUGCAAUCUAGCAGGGAAGAGAAAGUCUAAUCCUCACAAUAGCUCUGCCAUGAUCGCCAGCCCCAUUUGCAAUCAAGAAGGCUGCGGGUGAGCAGUUACAGGCCAUGUCCAAGGCCACGAAGCUAGGGAGCGAGGAGCAGCAGAGAAGGUGUUUGACCAUGCAAUCUAAUUCCUGGGCUGGAGCCGUAGUGCUUCUCCGAAGAAAGUCUCAGUCAUUGCUUACUAGUGUUGCAGAAUUCAGAGUGGUACCUGCUCCAUGUGCUACCAAUGGCCUGCCUGGUGGAGAAGCACCGGAAGCCAUGGAGGAUUCCAGGCAGUCAGGCUUGGAAAAAAAGAAUAGGGGAUCAGAAAGCUGUAAUAAUCUCCAGAUGUUUAAGAGUCUUACAUGAUGUCGGCAUGGAAAACGAGGCUAUAAAAGAACAUUCGAUGCCAUGAAAAGAUGUUCAUGGGAUGUGGUUAAAUGGAGAAAUCGGGUUGCAAAAGAGUCUACCUUAUGAGCCUCUCCUCCUUUUUGGGUAAAAAAUAUACAUGCAGGGAUAAGAAAAAAAAGCCUAUAUAAAUACACUUCAAUGUGUUAACUAGAGUGUAACUAGGUUGUGGGUAUAGAGUUGCCAGAUUUAGCAAAUAAGAAGACAGGACUUCCAGUUACAUUUGAAUUUCAGAUAAACUGCGAAUAAUUUCUUAGAACAAGCAGUUAUUCGUUGUUUAUCUGAAAUCCAAAUUUAACGGGAUGUCCUGUAUUUUAUCUCGCAACCCGAUAUGGAGGAUUUUUCUUUUUGUUUGUGUUUUUGAUAAUAAAUGUAUGUUAGUUUUGAAAUAAAAAGGGGCACCAACUGGAGUCCUGCCUUGUGUAAGAAGGAUUAGUUAUUGGUGUGCACGGUGGUCCCACCGGCCAAGUCAGCUAAAGUGGAGCAUAAGUCUGCCCUCCCACUGGGACCCUGGCCCGGGCCGUGAUUCCCAGCGCUGGCUGAGCGACGCUGACUGCCAGGUGGCGCUGCCGGGCUGCUGGUCCUAGUCGCCAAGGCUCGCAGCGUCAGGGGAGAGGGACAACAGUGCCCCUCUGGGAUCCAGCUGGCUUUCGGAUCCAGAUGGCCCUCAGCAGUCCCCAAGGCCAGAGCCAGAGGUGCAGGAAGAGCUGGGUGCAGAGUUGGAACUCUACCUCUAAAACACACCCCAGGCCCCUUUCCUCUGCAAAGCUCUGCAGCUGCUGGGACUGUGCAUGAGUCCGCACAGGGCUGAACAGCGUGUCCACUUCCCUUUCCUCCACCUAGACCCCAGGCAUCUCCUCUUUGACUCAGCGCAUACUCCUCCCGGGACUGAAAGAGACUCAGUUCCUGCUCUGGGACGCUCAAUUGUGGGCAGACUCCGGGAGCGAGGAGGGAAGGUGACUCCUGUCCUCGUGGAAGGGAGGGUCUAGCUCCCAAGGAGAGAGAAGUGAAGUGUAUUCGGCAGGUGUUUGGAGAUGCUCUGAAAUUGUAAAUUGCCCGCUGAGUUUAUGCCCACAGCUUGGCACAGCACGUGCUGAGCAAAGGAGAAGUUCCAUAAAUGUUUUUCAUCCAGUCAACAAAUUCUCUGAGCCCCUCUGUGCCAGACGCUGGGCUAGGCUCUGGGGAUGAAGUCCCUGUCCUUCUGGAGCUUAUGAUUUGGUGGUAGAGAGACAAACAAUAAACAGGUAGAAUAAUGCUAUAAUUUCACAUGGUGUUAAACUCUAGAAGAAAAUAAA